AUGGGUAUGCAGGCUCUGAUGGAUGUCCGGUGCAAGAAUCUAGUGAACCCUGUAUGCGACUGGAUUGGUGAGAUUUACGACCCCGCCUCUAGGGAAUUUGUGAUUCCGGGACGUGGAAGACUGCCGUUGGACGAGGAAUCCGUGUUCUGCACUUUGGGUGUGCCCCGUGGAGAAAUCAAAGUCCCGUACGAGGCGAAACUGAAAGAUGUGAAGAACAUGAAAUGGUGUAAGUUCAUCGCCAACUUCCUGCAUGAUGCAUUCUCAAACAAGAUGUACCAGAAGGGUUGUCGACUGCAUUUAAUGGUGAGGGCACCUGUUGAGCAUCUAAUUGGGCAGAUUGCAUCCGGAAUGACCAGCUUGCUCGGGGAGUUGGUUGAGGGUUGGACGUCCCUAAAUGGCUCUGACAGAGACGCGGUUGCGAGGCAGUUCACUACAUUUGUUGCAGAACGGACACAUCGGCCAACUCGUUGCCGUGGCCGGUACGACUACAACAGCUCCCAAGAGCUUGCUAACACACAAGAUGAACUAGAUGGAGAUGCUGCUCUCAACAAGGACGAUGACGAUGACAUGGAGAACGUGCAGCACGACACCGAUGAUGAUAAACAUGUUGAAGUUCGUGCAGGUGGUAAGAAGGGCAAGGCUGCACCAGAUGUCCCCUCACCGGAGAAAGUCAAAGAACAUACAACUGCGAGAGGCGAGGGGGUGUUGCCCUCAAAGAGGGGGAGGGCUCCAGAGGAUGUUGGGCAGGGUUCUCCUGGCAAGAGGUCUAGGACCGAUCCCGUAGCUGCUAGGAGGAGUGAGGCGACAGCUGGUGGACGAGCAGUUACGAAGAAACAGGCACCAACGCCAACCCGUGUUUCUGCUCGAUUGAACAAAGGUGCCCCCAUUGCUGGUGACACCCCUUCCACCAGGUCAUCUCCUCGUAUGAUGACGUCCAACACCGGGGAUCCUGUCGUGUUGCCAGACAUGAGAAAGCCAGUCAAGAAGGUGAAGAAGACUACUACACGCGCGGCCAAGCAUAUCAUCAGGGACCCACUCGAACGCCUUCAUUCAAAGUUGUCAACAGGUGGCAACUCAGAUGUUCAUGAGGCGCCAGUCGACAAAACUGCUGCUGCACCGUCAACUGUUCCCACUAACUCUAAUGCAAGUGGCCGACCAUCUCCGCCGGUUGCAGAUGUGCAGGCUACAACAACAGGCAUCCGUACAUCGGGGAGUAACGAGUCAGUAUCUGCCAGGACUGCUGAAAUAUUGCCCACUCUGCUGGCAAUGAAGGAUGCUACUGUGAGCCAUGCCAUCCCAUCAGCAGCGUUGAAGUGGACGCCCCCGAGACCAACCUAA
rnacentral:rRNA from 1 species